rnacentral:rRNA from 1 species
GAUCAUGGCUCAGGAUGAACGCUAGCGACAGGCCUAACACAUGCAAGUCGAGGGGCAGCGGGGAGGUAGCAAUACCUUUGCCGGCGACCGGCGCACGGGUGAGUAACACGUAUGCAAUCCACCUGUAACAGGGGGGAUAACCCGGAGAAAUCCGGACUAAUACCCCAUAAUAUGGGCGCUCCGCAUGGAGAGUCCAUUAAAGAGAGCAAUCUUGGUUACAGACGAGCAUGCGCUCC